rnacentral:rRNA from 1 species
AGAGUUUGAUCAUGGCUCAGAACGAACGCUGGCGGCAGGCUUAACACAUGCAAGUCGAACGCCCCGCAAGGGGAGUGGCAGACGGGUGAGUAACGCGUGGGAAUCUACCCAGUUCUUCGGAAUAACUGAGGGAAACUUCAGCUAAUACCGGAUACGCCCUACGGGGGAAAGAUUUAUCGGGAUUGGAUGAGCCCGCGUCAGAUUAGCUAGUUGGUGGGGUAAUGGCCCACCAAGGCGACGAUCUGUAGCUGGUCUGAGAGGAUGAUCAGCCACAUUGGGACUGAGACACGGCCCAGACUCCUACGGGAGGCAGCAGUGGGGAAUAUUGGACAAUGGGCGCAAGCCUGAUCCAGCCAUGCCGCGUGAGUGAUGAAGGCCUUAGGGUUGUAAAGCUCUUUCAGUGGGGAAGAUAAUGACGGUACCCACAGAAGAAGCCCCGGCUAACUUCGUGCCAGCAGCCGCGGUAAUAC